rnacentral:rRNA from 1 species
UACGUAGGGCGCAAGCGUUGUCCGGAAUUAUUGGGCGUAAAGAGCUCGUAGGCGGUCUGUCACGUCUGCCGUGAAAACCCGAGGCUUAACCUCGUGGCUUGCGGUGGAUACGGGCAGACUAGAGGUAGGUAGGGGAGAACGGAAUUCCCGGUGUAGCGGUGAAAUGCGCAGAUAUCGGGAGGAACACCGGUGGCGAAGGCGGUUCUCUGGGCAUUACCUGACGCUGAGGAGCGAAAGUGUGGGGAGCGAACAGG